CACAACCCAUUCUCACUCCAAAGGCGUCAAAAACCGAAGCAUGGUCAAGCGCCCCUAGCGUCACUUUUAUGACGCCAAAUGUGCCUCUCGGCGUCGACUAUCGAAGCACUACGACCUUCAUUGCUUUCAGUGGGAAACUUUUGGCGUCAGAAUUCGACACGAGGACAUGAGAUGUUUAUCGCUAUGAAAUCACGUUCAAGAAGUCUCAUUCAGCACACAUCGCGCGAUACUUGCUAUCAUUUCCACAGUUUGGCUGAAAAGACGUAAAGGCAGUCAGCCCAGUGGUGUUUCUGGAGAGGGAUUCCUUCAGAAAUGGAGAAGACAGAAAGCUGCGGAGGCAGAUAUUUGCAGCAGAUUUUUUCCAGAUAAUGCUGUUCUUCUUUUUCAGGUCUAAAAUAUCGAGCUCAACAGCUAUUUGAAGAGCCAACCCUCACAAACCUUCCUAAAAACUAAAAGAGCUAUUACUGAAUCUCAGCGAAUCUUGCCAUGAUCAGCUCUUCCCAGAAGAGAAGGAAGACCAAGGAAAUGAUUUGCUCAGGAUGAGGAAUGAAGAUGGCCAUCUUGUGCUCAAACAAACAGAAGUCCUCUGAUGAUCUCAUCAGCCAAAUGAGGGGUUUUGACCAAGUGAUGCUCUUGAAAGGAGUGAAAGGAUGUGGUAAAUUGUCUUCAGAGAAAAAGCUUCUCAAAAGGUCUUAAAACAGCUUGAAGAAUGGUCUGGGAUGUUAGGACUGAGAGAUCCUCUGGCUGAGAACAAGCUACACCACAUCAGUGCUGGACAUCAACCACAAACUGUUUCCAGACACGAGAGAAGAAGAUCACGAUGGGGAGAUGAAACCAGUUUAGAUGUGAUGAUGGGAAUCAUUAUUUUCUGGAACAGUAUCACAUGUCUUAUAUGUAUCACAUGAUCUGUAUCACAGUUGACUGGAUGGGACUGUGUGACUUUUAAGGACAUUUCAUCACUCAUCUGUGUGAACUGAUUUAUAUAUGAGGUUAAUGUAUCUUUGAUGAUAAUUAUUUUCAUUGAAUCUUAUUUGUCUUGAUGCUACUUUAUCAACUUUAUAGUCUAUGCUUCAAUAAAAUGAA